GUGAGGAAUAUUGGACAAUGGGCGCAAGCCUGAUCCAGCCAUGCUGCGUGCAGGAAGACGCAUCUAUGGUGUGUAAACUGCUUUUGUACGGGAAGAAACACUCCCUCGUGAGGGAGCUUGACGGUACCGUAAGAAUAAGGAUCGGCUAACUCCGUGCCAGCAGCCGCGGUAAUACGGAGGAUCCAAGCGUUAUCCGGAAUCAUUGGGUUUAAAGGGUCCGUAGGCGGUUUAAUAAGUCAGUGGUGAAAGCCCAUCGCUCAACGAUGGAACGGCCAUUGAUACUGUUAGACUUGAAUUACAAGGAAGUAACUAGAAUAUGUAGUGUAGCGGUGAAAUGCUUAGAUAUUACAUGGAAUACCAAUUGCGAAGGCAGGUUACUACUUGUGGAUUGACGCUGAUGGACGAAAGCGUGGGGAGCGAACAGGAUUAGAAACCCUGGUAGUCC
rnacentral:rRNA from 1 species